AGUAUUCAAUAUUGCAAUUACUUCAAUCUAUAAUUGUAAUAAAAUAUUAGAUUUAUGUUAUUAAAUUUAUAUUUAAUUGUAAAUUGAAAUAAAUCAUACCUCUUGAGUAGCCAAAAAUUGUUUAACAAUUUGUUUCGUUAAUACUAUUUUGGGCUUCCAUUUAUGCAUUCGUGGACAUUGUAAGCUUUUACGGGUACGACGUCCGAAUUGUCGUCCAAUUUGAGGAAAAGCUUCAUAUAUCUAAUACUGAAAUAAAAGUAAAAAGAAAUAUUAAAGUUUUUAUAUGAUCAAAUUAUAUGUAACAAGGAAAAAAAUAAAAGAAAAAUACCUGGAAUGCAAGUGGAUAACCAUGUAAUGAAUAUUUACAAUAUGUUUGGUCAUUUUGUUGCAUCCUUCGUAUUCUUUUGAGGUGUGAUUCUUGCAAUGAAUUUAAUAAAACAAAGUAUGCUUUACAUCCUUAUGGAUACAUAAGAAACUUGAUGAGGUUUAUGUGGAGGAACAGGCAUUGGUAUACAUGGAACGGUUGGAUGGUCGGCUUUCAAAGAAAUUGAUGUAACUUUUGCGUUUGGUGUCCGUUUUGGGCCCA
rnacentral:sRNA from 1 species